GCUGGCGGCAGGCCUAACACAUGCAAGUCGAACGUGAAGCAGGAGCUUGCUCCUGUGGAAAGUGGCAGACGGGUGAGUAACGCGUGGGAAUCUACCCAGCUCUACGGAAUAACGCAGGGAAACUUGUGCUAAUACCGUAUACGUCCUCCGGGAGAAAGAUUUAUCGGAGUUGGAUGAGCCCGCGUUAGAUUAUUUUGUUGGUGGGGUAACGGCCUACCAAGACUACGAUCUAUAGCUGGACUGAGAGGAUGAUCAGCCACACUGGGACUGAGACACGGCCCAGACUCCUACGGGAGGCAGCAGUGGGGAAUAUUGCACAAUGGGCGCAAGCCUGAUGCAGCCAUGCCGCGUGAGUGAAGAAGGCCUUAGGGUUGUAAAACUCUUUCACCGGUGAAGAUAAUGACGGUAGCCGGAGAAGAAGCCCCGGCUAACUCCGUGCCAGCAGCCGCGGUAAUACGGAGGGGGCAAGCGUUGUUCGGAAUUACUGGGCGUAAAGCGCGCGUAGGCGGACUGGUCAGUUGGGGGUGAAAUCCCGAGGCUCAACCUCGGAACUGCCUUCAAUACUGCCAGUCUAGAGUUCGGAAGAGGUAAGUGGAAUUCCUAGUGUAGAGGUGAAAUUCGUAG
rnacentral:rRNA from 1 species